UACCUGGUUGAUUCUGCCAGUAGUCA
rnacentral:ncRNA from 10 species